AACUCUCAACAACGAUAUCUUGGCUCCCGUAACGAUGAAGAACGCAGCGAAAUGCGAUACGUAGUGUGAAUUGCAGAAUUCCGUGAACCAUCGAAUCUUUGAACGCAAAUUGCGCUCGAGGCUUCGGCCAAGAGCAUGUCUGCCUCAGCGUC
rnacentral:rRNA from 1 species